rnacentral:misc_RNA from 1 species
GAUGAAGAACGCAGCGAAAUGCGAUACGUAAUGUGAAUUGCAGAAUUCAGUGAAUCAUCGAGUCUUUGAACGCACAUUGCGCCCCUUGGUAUCCCGAGGGGCAUGCCUGUUCGAGCGUCAUUUCACCACUCAAGCCUGGCUUGGUGUUGGGCGACGUCCCCUUUAGGGACGCGCCUCGAAACGCUCGGCGGCGCGGCACCGGCUUUAAGCGUAGCAGAAUCUUUCGCUUUGGAAGUCGGGGCCCCGCCUGCCGGAAUACCCACUUGUAAGGUUGACCUCGGAUCAGGCAGGGAUACCCGCUGAACUUAAGCAUAUCAAUAAGCGGAGGA